rnacentral:rRNA from 1 species
GAAUUUUCGGCAAUGGGGGGAACCCUGACCGAGCGAUGCCGCGUGAGUGAUGAAGGUCUUCGGACUGUAAAACUCUGUUAUUAGGGAAGAAUACUAUAGGGAGGAAAUGCCUUAUAGAUGACGGUACCUAAUGAGGAAGCCCCGGCCAACUAUGUGCCAGCAGCCGCGGUAAUACAUAGGGGGCGAGCGUUAUCCGGAAUUACUGGGCGUAAAGGGUGCGUAGGCGGUUUCUUAAGUCUAGUGUGAAAGCCCACGGCUUAACCGUGGAGGGUCAUUAGAAACUGGGAGACUUGAGUACAGCAGAGGUAAGUGGAAUUUCUAGUGGAGCGGUGAAAUGCGUAGAUAUUAGAAGGAACACCAGUGGCGAAGGCGGCUUACUGGGCUGGAACUGACGCUGAGGCACGAAAGCGUGGGGAGCAAACA